CCAGGGUGGCACCAGAGGAGGAAGCAGACCCCGAACUGCGCUGAGCUAAGUCGUGAGCGGAAAGACUGACGCGGUCACAGCAGGCUGUCCCGCAGGCUGAGAUAGCCAAGAACCAUGAGAGUCCUCCUUCCUGUUCUGCUGAGCAUCUUGCUCUGUAUAGAGCCAGCUCAUUCUCUCAAAUGCUACAACUGUACCAAGGUACAGCAAUCCAGUCAGUGCACCUCUGUUCAGUGCCCGGGGUCAGCAACUCACUGUGGGAGUUUGGAAGCUGGAGAAAAAAAUGGGCCAGAGAACCAAAAGUUUCACUUCAAGGGCUGUACUAAUUCCUGUGAAAAUUUUUUCACGGAAUCAUUUUCAAAGGCCCAUAUGUUGAUCCCCCAAGCUAUCAUUGAAGUGGGUUAUUCCUGCUGUUCAAAAGAACUGUGUAAUGGGGCUGAUGGGAUCAGGAGCAGCCCCUUUGCUCUGCUAGGAGCACUCCUACUCAGCCUUGGACCUGCCUUCUUCUGGGCCAUGAUAUGGAGACACAGAGAAUGGAGGAAUAGCUCCCUAGGACAGGAGCAUGACUCAGAACUUUGGACCAGAAAAGACUUCAAGAUUCUAGAGACCUUCCUGAGAUAUUCACUGGUGGAUUCGAGAAAGCCAGGAUGA
rnacentral:lncRNA from 1 species